CCUACAAUGGCCUUGGACUCUCAGAGACCUGUUGCCACUGACUCCCUAGUCCUAGGAACCAAGGCAGGAAAGGAUCCACUGAGGCAAGAACUAUGGUCUACAGGGAGAAUUUCAGGAAACCAUAAACAAGUGGCAACUAAGUUAAAACAGCACUUCAGAACAUGGGGUUCUCUGGACAGCAGCAGCUAUACUGUAAACAAAUAAGGUGGGAUACACUAAAUGAAUGAGGCUUCCUCAGUUUCCUCAAGUACUCACCCCAUCACGAGAACAGGCAUCAUGAGCCUCGGUGGUGCACAGAGGAUGUAGCCACCCCCAACACAUGACAAUGCAUUGCCAGUUUCCUGGGACUAGAGUCCAGGACUAGUAAUUAUUAAAUUGAUCACCCUCCAAAA